AGACGGGUGAGUAACGCGUGGGAACAUACCUUUCGGUUCGGAAUAGCCCCGGGAAACUGGGUGUAAUACCGGAUACGUCCUUAGGGAGAAAGAUUUAUCGCCGAAAGAUUGGCCCGCGUUAGAUUAGGUAGUUGGUGGGGUAAAAGCCUACCAAGCCUACGAUCUAUAGCUGGUCUGAGAGGAUGAUCAGCCACACUGGGACUGAGACACGGCCCAGACUCCUACGGGAGGCAGCAGUGAGGAAUCUUGGACAAUGGGCGCAAGCCUGAUCCAGCCAUGCCGCGUGAAUGAUGAAGGCCUUAGGGUUGUAAAAUUCUUUCAGCAGGGAAGAUAAUGACGGUACCUGCAGAAGAAGCCCCGGCUAACUCCGUGCCAGCAGCCGCGGUAAUACGGAGGGGGCUAGCGUUGUUCGGAAUUACUGGGCGUAAAGCGCUCGUAGGCGGAUUGGUCAGUCAGGGGUGAAAGCCCGGAGCUCAACUCCGGAACUGCCUUUGAUACUGCCAGUCUUGAGUUCGGGAGAGGUGAGCGGAAUACCGAGUGUAGAGGUGAAAUUCGUAGAUAUUCGGUGGAACACCAGAGGCGAAGGCGGCUCACUGGAC
rnacentral:rRNA from 1 species